rnacentral:rRNA from 1 species
AGUGAACGCUGGCGGUAGGCCUAACACAUGCAAGUCGAACGGCAGCACAGUAAGAGCUUGCUCUUACGGGUGGCGAGUGGCGGACGGGUGAGGCAUACAUCGGAAUCUACUUUUUCGUGGGGGAUAACGUAGGGAAACUUACGCUAAUACCGCAUACGGCCUACGGGUGAAAGCAGGGGAUCUUCGGACCUUGCGCGAUUGAAUGAGCCGAUGUCGGAUUAGCUAGUUGGCGGGGUAAAGGCACACCAAGGCGACGAUCCGUAGCUGGUCUGAGAGGAUGAUCAGCCACACUGGAACUGAGACACGGUCCAGACUCCUACGGGAGGCAGCAGUGGGGAAUAUUGGACAAUGGGCGCAAGCCUGAUCCAGCCAUACCGCGUGGGUGAAGAAGGCCUUCGGGUUGUAAAGCCCUUUUGUUGGGAAAGAAAAGCAGCAGGUUAAUACCCCGCUGUUCUGACGGUACCCAAAGAAUAAGCACCGGCUAACUUCGUG